CACCUGGACUGUGUCAAGAUUUAUACACCCAGCAUCUUAACACAUCUCUGGGUGGCUCAAGGUGGCACAACUCGUCCAUGGUUCCUACAAAUGUUGAAAACUACUGACCCCAACACGUAGUUAUCAAGGUUUGAUGGCAUUGGACCCUCCUGGGCUGGUGAUAGUAAGCACACCGCCAUCUUGCCCACACAGAGGUGAGAAGUAGUUACCAGGCAACACAGCUGGAAAAGGAAGUCACCUGACUCUGAAAUGGAAAAUUCCGCAAGCCCACCUUUUAAAAACAGCCUGCCUUUAGACGCAAGCCCACUUUGUCCCCAGCUUGUAAAACAGCCAAGCAAAGUAGGCCCUGGAGCCGGUUCAGAGGCCCUUCCUUUCCUCGGUGCUGCCUCUCUUGUACUCGAACACAAGCUUAAUAAAAUCCGUCUGGAUAUUU